rnacentral:rRNA from 1 species
ACGUUAGCGGCGGACGGGUGAGUAACACGUGGGUAACCUACCUAUAAGACUGGGAUAACUUCGGGAAACCGGAGCUAAUACCGGAUAAUAUUUCUAACCGCAUGGUUCGAUAGUGAAAGAUGGUUUUGCUAUCACUUAUAGAUGGACCCGCGCCGUAUUAGCUAGUUGGUAAGGUAACGGCUUACCAAGGCGACGAUACGUAGCCGACCUGAGAGGGUGAUCGGCCACACUGGAACUGAGACACGGUCCAGACUCCUACGGGAGGCAGCAGCU